AGCGAACGUUAGCGGCGGGCCUAACACAUGCAAGUCGAGCGAGAAAGGGGCUUCGGCCCUGAGUAAAGCGGCGGACGGGUGAGUAACACGUAGGUAAUCUUCCUUCGAGCGGGGGACAACGGUCCGACAGGACCGCUAAUACCGCGUACGUUCCCGAGGACCCUGGUCCUUGGGAGGAAAGCUAGGUCGCAAGAUCCGGCCACCGGAGAGGAGCCGGCGUCGCACCAGCUAGUUGGUGGGGUAAUGGCCUACCAAGGCGAAGACGCGUAGCUGGUCUGAGAGGAUGAUCAGCCACACUGGGACUGAGACACGGCCCAGACUCCUACGGGAGGAAGCAGUGGGGAAUAUUGGACAAUGGGCGCAAGCCUGAUCCAGCCACGCCGCGUGAGUGAUGAAGGCCUUCGGGUCGUAAAGCUCUGUGGGGAGGGACGAACCGCUGCACGUGCAUAGCGUGCAGCAUGACGGUACCUCCUUAGCAAGCACCGGCUAACUUCGUGCCAGCCGCCGCCGUAA
rnacentral:rRNA from 1 species